UAACAAGUACCUCUGUUUGGUCUCAGCUGAAACCUGUCUACCUGAGAACAGCUCUCAUGUCAGCUCCUCUGAUCCAUAUGAUGACUGAAUGUGAUUAUGUGACAUACCGAUAGUAUAACAGUCGAGCCAAUGGGAACUUCAAUAACAGCCUCAGCUGGAAGAGGCCAGGACAGACGGACAGAAAGACAGACAGGAUUAAAUCUUUAUAAAACAUGUAAACACUU